rnacentral:rRNA from 1 species
CGGACGGGUGAGUAACGCGUGAGAAUCUGGCUUCAGGUCUGGGACAACCACUGGAAACGGUGGCUAAUACCGGAUGUGCCGAAAGGUGAAAGGUUAACUGCCUGAAGAUGAGCUCGCGUCUGAUUAGCUAGUUGGAAGUGUAAUGGACUCCCAAGGCGACGAUCAGUAGCUGGUCUGAGAGGACGAUCAGCCACACUGGGACUGAGACGCGGCCCAGACUCCUACGGGAGGCAGCAGUGGGGAAUUUUCCGCAGUGGGCGAAAGCCUGACGGAGCAAUACCGCGUGAGGGAGGAAGGCUCUUGGGUCGUAAACCUCUUUUCUCAGGGAAGAACACAAUGACGGUACCUGAGGAAUAAGCAUCGGCUAACUCCGUGCCAGCAGCCGCGGUAAUACGGAGGAUGCAAGCGUUAUCCGGAAUGAUUGGGCGUAAAGCGUCCGCAGGUGGCAAUGUAAGUCUGCUGUUAAAGAGUCUAGCUCAACUAGAUAAGAGCAGUGGAAACUACAUAGCUAGAGUACGUUCGGGGCAGAGGGAAUUCCUGGUGUAGCGGUGAAAUGCGUAGAGAUCAGGAAGAACACCAGUGGCGAAGGCGCUCUGCUAGGCCGUAACUGACACUGAGGGACGAAAGCUAGGGGAGCGAAUGGGAUUAGAUACCCCAGUAGUC